GAUGAACGCUGGCGGCGUGCUUAACACAUGCAAGUCGAACGGAAAGGCCCAAGCUUGCUUGGGUACUCGAGUGGCGAACGGGUGAGUAACACGUGGGUGAUCUGCCCUGCACUUCGGGAUAAGCCUGGGAAACUGGGUCUAAUACCGGAUAGGACCACUACUUGGAUGUUGUGGUGGAAAGUUUUUUCGGUGUGGGAUGAGCUCGCGGCCUAUCAGCUUGUUGGUGGGGUAAUGGCCUACCAAGGCGUCGACGGGUAGCCGGCCUGAGAGGGUGUACGGCCACAUUGGGACUGAGAUACGGCCCAGACUCCUACGGGAGGCAGCAGUGGGGAAUAUUGCACAAUGGGCGCAAGCCUGAUGCAGCGACGCCGCGUGGGGGAUGACGGCCUUCGGGUUGUAAACUCCUUUCGCUAGGGACGAAGCGUUUUGUGACGGUACCUGGAGAAGAAGCACCGGCUAACUACGUG
rnacentral:rRNA from 1 species